rnacentral:rRNA from 1 species
ACAUGCCUACAUCAUAGCGUCAAUGCACUGGAUCCCAUUAGAACUCUGCACUUAAGCACGAUGAAGCUAGAGUAGUUACUAGGAUGGGUGACUGCCCAGGAAGUCCUAGUGUUUUACAUGCC